rnacentral:rRNA from 1 species
GAUGAACGCUAGCUACAGGCUUAACACAUGCAAGUCGAGGGGCAGCAUUUCAGUUUGCUUGCAAACUGGAGAUGGCGACCGGCGCACGGGUGAGUAACACGUAUCCAACCUGCCGAUAACUCGGGGAUAGCCUUUCGAAAGAAAGAUUAAUACCCGAUGGUAUAAUUAGACCGCAUGGUCUUGUUAUUAAAGAAUUUCGGUUAUCGAUGGGGACGCGUUCCAUUAGGCAGUUGGUGAGGUAACGGCUCACCAAACCUUCGAUGGAUAGGGGUUCUGAGAGGAAGGUCCCCCACAUUGGAACUGAGACACGGUCCAAACUCCUACGGGAGGCAGCAGUGAGGAAUAUUGGUCAAUGGGCGCAGGCCUGAACCAGCCAAGUAGCGUGAAGGAUGACUGCCCUAUGGGUUGUAAACUUCUUUUAUAUGGGAAUAAAGUUUUCCACGUGUGGAAUUUUGUAUGUACCAUAUGAAUAAGGAUCGGCUAACUCCGUGCCAGCAGCCGCGGUAAUACGGAGGAUCCGAGCGUUAUCCGGAUUUAUUGGGUUUAAAGGGAGCGUAGGUGGACAGUUAAGUCAGUUGUGAAAGUUUGCGGCUCAACCGUAAAAUUGCAGUUGAUACUGGCUGUCUUGAGUACAGUAGAGGUGGGCGGAAUUCGUGGUGUAGCGGUGAAAUGCUUAGAUAUCACGAAGAACUCCGAUUGCGAAGGCAGCUCACUGGACUGCAACUGACACU